UGCACUCACUACUGUAAGUCGCUCUAGAUAAGAGCGUCUGCUAAAUGACUAAAA
rfam:Salmo salar isolate Sally breed double haploid chromosome ssa16, whole genome shotgun sequence.